AAAAAAACAUUUGGCAGACUCGAAUUGCCUGAUUGGGUUAAAUCCAGUUUUUUUACAAUUUAAUUUAACAUACCAAGACUUGGAUCCCGAAAUAAUCAAUUUUCCGAAAUCAUCACUCGAAUCACCAAUUAUUUACCAAUUAUAAGCGAGGAACGCUGCAGGUACAACUCACAUUUGAAUAUAAUGGACUCAGCAAAUAUCUAAACUGAAUAUCCCAUGCCAGUCGUACAAUUUAUUCCCGGAAGUGGUGAACAUAAACUGUCCUUAUGAACCGGAAGUACGAGUGAAUUUAAAACGAUUUCAGAUACAUAAUGGCAUUAUUAUUAUGAGUUAGAAGAUUGAAUUGAGCAUUUGUUGUCAAUCUAAAACAAUUUAUUGUCUCCAAUUCUCCAUACCCACAUAAAAAUAUA